CGUCUGCAGAAAGAAAGGCAAGACUGGGGUCUUUGUCUAGACUGGUUUUGGUCUACGUCUGCUUGCUGGGCCUAUAGCUUUGAUUUGAACUUGCUGAGGCAGAUCUGGUUUCCUUCGUUGAUUUUUUUAUAACAGGAUUAGAUUUUGCAGCUUCUUUCACAUCACAGAGACUCUUCUUUUGAGGCAGUGCAGGGAGGUGAGGGAGUAGAAGUGGUCUUUAUCUGAUCAGACACCUUCUGUAUCUUUUUAGAUGGUGAUGCUCAUGGAAGGUGAUGCUAGCAGUAAAGAAGAUAACUUCUUUCCUGCUGUUGGUGACACUUUGGCUGUGUCUCAAUUCAGGGUCUGCAUCCUACGUCGGCCGGUUACGUCACAGCGCCGCGACUAGGCCUGUCCCAAUUCGAAGACUCCUUCAAAUGCGGUCGACGAAUGCGGCCUUCUUUUCGCCUAAAUGAAGGAUGGGUCCGGUGUAUCCUUCAACAGGUAGCAUUUCCCAAGAUGCCUUGCGGGCCGGCCGGCAGAAAAACUUAAAAACAAUGGCGGACAGUGAAGCGGGAGCUGUCGGAGAGGAUUGCGCAUAUAAAUGUCAGUAUAAACUUGAAAACUGUUAGGUUAAGGACAUUUUUGUGAUACAUGAACGUUAUUUUAGUUAGAAAUGUUACAGUAAAAGUGCUUGUAUUGCGGUCUCGGCUCGUAUGUUCGGCCGCGCUCGGUGUCGUACUUCUCCCGCUACGUUUUCCCCCUGAUUUUAAUAGAAGUUUGUAUUUUAGGAACAAAAGAGAAAACCAGGGAAUUUAUUAAGCUUAGGGCGGAGAUGGACCACAUGAUCACCGGAGCAAAGUAUUCGGCGGCUGUGGCAUGGAGGGGAAGGUGCCAGCGAUGACCAGCUUCUGGAGCUGAUCAGGGAGGACAUGAGGCUGCAGAGGGCACAGGAGAGAAGGAAGAACUUUGACAGCUUUUUACUUUGCUAGAAAAAAAUGGUUAAGGAAGAUUAAACAUGUACAUAUAAAAGAAAUAUCUAAAUAAAAUCAGUUCUGCAUUAAA